rnacentral:rRNA from 1 species
UAGGGAAUCUUCCGCAAUGGACGCAAGUCUGACGGAGCAACGCCGCGUGAGUGAAGAAGGAUUUCGGUUCGUAAAACUCUGUUGUUAGAGAAGAACAGCGCAUAGAGUAACUGUUAUGCGUGUGACGGUAUCUAACCAGAAAGCCACGGCUAACUACGUGCCAGCAGCCGCGGUAAUACGUAGGUGGCAAGCGUUGUCCGGAUUUAUUGGGCGUAAAUCGAGCGCAGGCGGUCAAUUAAGUCUGCUGUGAAAGCCCUCGGCUCGACCGGGGCGGGUCAUUGGAAACUGAUUCACUUGAUUGCAGAAGAGGAGAGUGAAAUUCCAUGUGUAGCGGUGAAAUGCGUAGAUAUAUGGAGGACCACCAGUGGCGAAAGCGACUCUCUGGUCUGUAAAUGACGCUGAGGCUCGAAAGCGUGGGUAGCAAACAGG